UGGGGAAUUUUGGACAAUGGGCGAAAGCCUGAUCCAGCAAUGCCGCGUGUGUGAAGAAGGCCUUCGGGUUGUAAAGCACUUUUGUCCGGAAAGAAAUCCUUGGCUCUAAUACAGUCGGGGGAUGACGGUACCGGAAGAAUAAGCACCGGCUAACUACGUGCCAGCAGCCGCGGUAAUACGUAGGGUGCAAGCGUUAAUCGGAAUUACUGGGCGUAAAGCGUGCGCAGGCGGUUUGCUAAGACCGAUGUGAAAUCCCCGGGCUCAACCUGGGAACUGCAUUGGUGACUGGCAGGCUAGAGUAUGGCAGAGGGGGGUAGAAUUCCACGUGUAGCAGUGAAAUGCGUAGAGAUGUGGAGGAAUACCGAUGGCGAAGGCAGCCCCCUGGGCCAAUACUGACGCUCAUGCACGAAAGCGUGGGGAGCAAACAGGAUUAGAUACCCUGGUAGUCCACGCCCUAAACGAUGUCAACUAGUUGUUGGGGACUUCAUUUCCUUAGUAACGUAGCUAACGCGUGAAGUUGA
rnacentral:rRNA from 1 species